AUUGAACGCUGGCGGCAUGCUUUACACAUGCAAGUCGAGCGGCAGCGCGGGCUUCGGCCUGGCGGCGAGUGGCGAACGGGUGAGUAAUGCAUCGGAACGUGCCCAGUAGUGGGGGAUAGCCCGGCGAAAGCCGGAUUAAUACCGCAUACGACCUGAGGGUGAAAGCGGGGGGCCGAAAGGCCUCGCGCUAUUGGAGCGGCCGAUGUCGGAUUAGCUAGUUGGUGGGGUAAAGGCUUACCAAGGCGACGAUCCGUAGCUGGUCUGAGAGGACGACCAGCCACACUGGGACUGAGACACGGCCCAGACUCCUACGGGAGGCAGCAGUGGGGAAUUUUGGACAAUGGGGGCAACCCUGAUCCAGCCAUGCCGCGUGCGGGAAGAAGGCCUUCGGGUUGUAAACCGCUUUUGUUCGGGAAGAAAUCCUCUGGGCUAAUACCCCGGGGGGAUGACGGUACCGGAAGAAUAAGCACCGGCUAACUACGUG
rnacentral:rRNA from 1 species